rnacentral:lncRNA from 1 species
AAUAAUGCCUGGUGUGUUACUACGAUUCAGUAUAGGCAAACAGUACUCUAAUUGACUAUAUAGUUUUCUUUCAUUGCAGAUGGCAAGCAGAGUGUGCACACUGUGCACACACAUGCACACACAGAAAGAAAAGAAGACAGACAAAUAGGAUCUGACUAUGAAAGAGUCAAAACCGCAGAAAUGCAGGUGAUUCCUAUCAGGUUUCCCGUGUGUCCCCAGUAGCAGCAGGGAGCGCUCUUUCGCAGUCUUUGAGCCCAAGAAAGGCAUCCUCCUCUCUAUCAUGUAACAUGUGUACAUAUGUACAUGGAAUGUUGGUAUGUAUGCCUGCAUGUGAAGAGUGGAUUGAAUGCUCUCAAUCCCAUGGCAUACAAACAUAAAUGAAUUUAAUUUUUCUUCAAUCUCCUCCCCCAACUGUGGUAUAUUAAAAUUUUCAUAUCCCAUUCCAUUUAGGACACUUGGGUGGACAACCAAGUUUCAGAAAAUUUUCAGUCGUGAAAACUUGACUCCAGUACCAUUUAAAAUCUUCAUCUCACUUCUCCAUUCUCAAGCAGGAUCUUGGAGGCAGAUUUCUCUAAACACUCUUUUGAGAGUGCCAUCUGUUUCCUCCCGAAACCCUGACAAAGGGGCAGUUCAUGUGUGCCUUCCAAGAAGUCCACUGAUUGCUGUCCCGCUCUUGAGAAAAUAAAAACAAAAACCAUGAGUUCUCAGGUACUUAUGUUCAUUAUGAGAUAGUUUAGGAGUAUCUAGAAAACCUUUUACUCAUAUAUAUAAUUCAUAUUUGAAAAACUCGCCCAUGUGUGGAUAUCUAGAAGAAAAACUUCCUAUGUGUUAAAGGAAAAAAGCUGAAAAGAGACCAGUCUUUUAUAAUUGACAAAUGGAUCAAAUCCAUAAUACUAAAGCCUCAAAUAACUGUCUGUGGAGAAUUGCAUUUAAAAUGUUAGGUAACUAUGAUGGGUAGCUCUUUUUUAAUGUGUGUGUAGUAGGAUGAGAAGAUCGGUAUUUAUAAAAGAGAAUGGAGAAAAAUAAGCAAGAUAGGAAUAGCUGUUACAUAUUUACUAGAAGACCUGAUAAGUUUAAAGGAAAACAAUGAGUUUUCAAGCAGAUAGCACAAUGCCAGUAAGAAUCAAGCAUACUUAUUUUCAGGAACACAAUUUCAGGUACACCUGGGACGAUUGAGAUGAGGGCUCUCUUAGAGAAG